GUGGGGAAUUUUGGACAAUGGGCGCAAGCCUGAUCCAGCAAUGCCGCGUGCAGGAAGAAGGCCUUCGGGUUGUAAACUGCUUUUGUACGGAACGAAACGGCUCUGGUUAAUACCCGGGGCUAAUGACGGUACCGUAAGAAUAAGCACCGGCUAACUACGUGCCAGCAGCCGCGGUAAUACGUAGGGUGCAAGCGUUAAUCGGAAUUACUGGGCGUAAAGCGUGCGCAGGCGGUUUUGUAAGACAGGCGUGAAAUCCCCGGGCUCAACCUGGGAAUUGCGCUUGUGACUGCAAGGCUGGAGUGCGGCAGAGGGGGAUGGAAUUCCGCGUGUAGCAGUGAAAUGCGUAGAUAUGCGGAGGAACACCGAUGGCGAAGGCAAUCCCCUGGGCCUGCACUGACGCUCAUGCACGAAAGCGUGGGGAGCAAACAGGAUUAGAUACCCCGGUAGUCC
rnacentral:rRNA from 1 species